rnacentral:rRNA from 1 species
UACGAAGGGUGCAAGCGUUACUCGGAAUUACUGGGCGUAAAGCGUGCGUAGGUGGUUUGUUAAGUCUGAUGUGAAAGCCCUGGGCUCAACCUGGGAACGGCAUUGGAAACUGGCUUACUAGAGUGCGGUAGAGGGGUGUGGAAUUCCCGGUGUAGCAGUGAAAUGCGUAGAUAUCAGGAGGAACACCAGCGGCGAAGGCGGCGCUCUGGGCCGGUACUGACACUGAGGAGCGAAAGCGUGGGUAGCAAACAGG